GAUGAAGAACGUAGCGAAAUGCGAUAAGUAAUGUGAAUUGCAGAAUUCAGUGAAUCAUCGAAUCUUUGAACGCACAUUGCGCCCAUUAGUAUUCUAGUGGGCAUGCCUGUUCGAGCGUCAUUAAGUCCACUUAAGCCCUGCUUAGUGUUGGGAGACUGCUCCAGCGGUGCUACCCUGUUGCUACCCUGCAGCUCCUCAAAGACAGCGGCGGAGUUGUGGUAUCCUCUGAGCUUAGUAACUUGUUCUAGCUUUCGAGUACACCACUUCCCCUGCCGUAAAACCCUUAAUUUUUAAUGGUUGACCUCGGAUCAGGUAGGAAUACCCGCUGAACUUAAGCAUAUCAAUAAGCGGAGGA
rnacentral:misc_RNA from 1 species